GAGCUGGAGAAGUACCACCUUCCUCCAGCAGAGUCUGCCGUGGAUCCUCCUGAGCCGACCCUUCGACGCACCUGAGGCUCGUUCCAUCAUCAGAGGAUCCACAGUAUAAAAGCUGUCUUCAGACCUUGCCUCGACGCCGCAGUGUUGAAUCUAGUUGGAAACCAGUUUUUCUCUGUGAGCUCUGGAUGAGCUUAGACUGCCGAGCCUGCCCUCUGAGCCAAACCCGAAGACUCCUCUCUGGAUUUCCCAUGCAGUUCUGGAUUAAGAGCUGGAAACCCAAAGCCAAGGUCUGCUCCCUCUUCAGAAGUAUGACGCUGAAGCAGUUAUCGGACUCUGCUGAAACAAACCUUCUCUGGACCCAACAGUUCCUCUCUCUGAGCUCAAACCGGAACCCUCAAGACUCCAGUGAACCAGUCCCCAGGUCUGAACCAGUUCCUG